AGGGCGGUGCCGGCCCACCGGGAGAUGGAGUCCACGGGCUUGCGCGAGGCUUGCUGGGAGCUGUAGGCCAGGCCUACCGGGGUGGAAUGUCACUCCGCGGGUGUUGGCCUCAAUUAUUUAUAGUGACACUCCAGUCGCCAGCAGGAGGCUCCUGCGUCUGCAGCCGCGUGUCAGCCAGAAGGAGGGGACGCUCGGGGUCAGUGACCACGCCCAGUCAGCACUCCCGACCAGGGGUCGCCUUUCCUGGCCCUGGAGAAACACAUGGCGUAAUGGGAAAACUGGACAGUUACACAAGGCAGAAGGAGACUGUGGAGAGGGAGCAUGUGUCAUGGCGCCCCAGGCCAGGGAGGGGAGGUAGGGUAAUGGGCCUGGGACAUCAGAAGACAUGGCACGCUGGCAGAGUAGAGCCAGCCUGGGUGCUGGAGUCAGACUUCAGACUUGGUUCCCUGCUCGUCCCAGUUCUGCUGCCUGGGGACAAGUUAUUUCAGCUCUCUUAGCUCCACAUGAUUUUUUUCAUCUGUCA
rnacentral:sRNA from 1 species